rnacentral:rRNA from 1 species
UUGCCCUACGGGGCGCAGCAGUGAGGAAUAUUGGUCAAUGGCCGUAAGGCUGAACCAGCCAAGUAGCGUGAGGGAAGACUGCCCUAUGGGUUGUAAACCUCUUUUAUGCGGGGAUAAAGGUGUCCACGUGUGGAUGUUUGCAGGUACCAUAUGAAUAAGGAUCGGCUAACUCCGUGCCAGCAGCCGCGGUAAUACGGAGGAUCCGAGCGUUAUCCGGAUUUAUUGGGUUUAAAGGGAGCGUAGGUGGAUUGUUAAGUCAGUUGUGAAAGUUUGCGGCUCAACCGUAAAAUUGCAGUUGAAACUGG